UAAGCUCCUCACUCUCGGGACCCGAGG
rnacentral:piRNA from 1 species